GAUGAACGCUGGCGGCGUGCCUAAUACAUGCAAGUCGAGCGAAUGGAUUAAGAGCUUGCUCUUAUGAAGUUAGCGGCGGACGGGUGAGUAACACGUGGGUAACCUGCCCAUAAGACUGGGAUAACUCCGGGAAACCGGGGCUAAUACCGGAUAACAUUUUGAACCGCAUGGUUCGAAAUUGAAAGGCGGCUUCGGCUGUCACUUAUGGAUGGACCCGCGUCGCAUUAGCUAGUUGGUGAGGUAACGGCUAACCAAGGCAACGAUGCGUAGCCGACCUGAGAGGGUGAUCGGCCACACUGGGACUGAGACACGGCCCAGACUCCUACGGGAGGCAGCAGUAAGGAAUCUUCCGCAAUGGACGAAAGUCUGACGGAGCAACGCCGCGUGAGUGAUGAAGGCUUUCGGGUCGUAAAACUCUGUUGUUAGGGAAGAACAGGUGCUAGUUGAAUAAGCUGGCACCUUGACGGUACCUAACCAGAAAGCCACGGCUAACUACGUGCCAGCAGCCGCAGUAA
rnacentral:rRNA from 1 species